rnacentral:rRNA from 1 species
GAACUUAAGCAUAUCAAUAAGCGGAGGAAAAGAAACCAACAGGGAUUGCCCUAGUAACGGCGAGUGAAGCGGCAACAGCUCAAAUUUGAAAUCUGGCCCUUGGGUCCGAGUUGUAAUUUGUAGAGGAUGUUUUUGGUGCGGUAUCUUCCGAGUUCCUUGGAACAGGACGCCUUAGAGGGUGAGAGCCCCGUACGGUUGAAUGCCUAGCCUCUGUAAAACUCCUUCGACGAGUCGAGUAGUUUGGGAAUGCUGCUCUAAAUGGGAGGUAAAUUUCUUCUAAAGCUAAAUACUGGCCAGAGACCGAUAGCGCACAAGUAGAGUGAUCGAAAGAUGAAAAGCACUUUGAAAAGAGGGUUAAAUAGCACGUGAAAUUGUUGAAAGGGAAGGAUUUAUGACCAGACUUUUUCUGGGCGGAUCAUCCGGUGUUCUCACCGGUGCACUUCGCUCAGUUUAGGCCAGCAUCGAUUUUCGGUGGGGGAUAAAAGCUUUAGGAAUGUGGCUCCUCCGGGAGUGUUAUAGCCUAUUGUAUAAUACCCUACUGGGGAUCGAGGUACGCGCUUCUGCAAGGAUGCUGGCGUAAUGGUUAUCAAUCACCCGUCUUGAAACACGGACCAAGGAGUCGAACAUUUGUGCAAGUGUUUGGGUGUUAAACCCUCACGCGUAAUGAAAGUGAACGGAGGUGAGAGCCCUUACGGGUGCAUCAUCGACCGAUCCUGAUGUUUUCGGAUGGAUUUGAGUAAGAGCAUAACUGUUCGGACCCGAAA